ACUGCCCCGUGGCGCUGGCUUGGAAGGGAGAUGCCUCGUGGGGCGGGAAAAUGGCGGCUGCGCCUUUAAGUGGGAGGGGUAGAAAGGUGGAUGUUCUGGGCUCAGAUAGCCUCUCAGGCAGGUAGCCUGCGUAAGGUGUUGCCUCUGCUGGUUCUGUUUGUGAAGUAGUAGUCCUCAGAAAUAGUGCUUUGGGAAACUGGCAGAAGCUCUGGUGUUUAGUGUUUCAGUCUGAAGUUAAGAAGUUAGUGAGAGGGACCAGAAAACAAAAGAGCUAACCGACUCCACACACUAAGUUAAGUCACAUGAAGAGUAUUCUUUGCCAGAAGAAAAGAACAUAUGUAUUUUAACAAUCUUAUUACACAAUUUAAAAGGAAUAAGACAUUUAAAGGGUUAAUAACUCCUUUCACUAAACGCAUGCAGGGCUUUAAGUGCCCACUCCUGUGUGAGACCCAUUGCUUUUUGGGAACUUCAAGCUCAGAUCCAUCUGCUUCCCACCAGACCUUACGAAUCCUAAUGGGAUUAUCUUUGUCAAACGUGACCUAUUGUCAUGCUAUCUUACCAUUGCUCCACACUCUGCUUUAUUUAUUUAUUUAUUUAUUUAUUUAUGUGUUUUGCUUUGUUUUCUGUGGCUUUGGUUUGCCAGUUCUGAAAUUUGGGAUUUUUUUUAAAAAUUUUUAUUUUUUUUUCCCCUGGAGUGUUUAGAAAUGCUUGUCUAAGAAAGUACUACUAAUGCUAUUCUCACUUACUCUACUACGUAGCCAAAUCCAGGCCAGCACUGUGAACUGUUUUCUUUUUACUGUCACACACUGGCAAUGUAGUGUGAGAUAGCUGACACUGAGGAUGUUUCUCCCUUUUGCUUUAGGUUUUUGGUAUUCUUUUUCUCAACAACAACAGCAUCUGGAAGCAAAGCAAGGGAUUUACUUAAGGCACAUUUGAGUUAGGCAGGGUAGUGCAAACACUGUCAUUUCUACUAAUGUUUUCCUCCAGAUUUUAAAACCGUGAAAAACAUCCCAUAUUUUAGAUAGGGAAACAGUGCCAGAAGAAAUUGACUUGUCAUUUGAUAAGUCUUAUGAUUAGUGUAAUAAAUUAAAUGGGUUGGGAUUUUUGCAAAUGAGGAAUCAGCUUUUGAUUGCUCAGUAAUUGACUAGAGUAACCAUCCGCCAAUAGCUGAUGGUUCAUUUCAUUUAAGUGAGUGAAGCUACUUUAUGAGCAAAAUAUGCUGGCCAGUGGUGAGUCUGUGCUACAGACAAGGUGAGUAGAUGGACAAUCAAUGGCUUAUUGGGGCUAUAAUGCACUGUAUUAAAAAAUUUAUGUAGCUUUUACUGUAAGCCAAAGUAGAAACAGUGUAAGGUGAUUUUUGGUUUUGUUUUGUUUUGUUUUUGUUUUUAGUAGUGAAAUAGAAGUUCCUUCUGCAAUAAAGCCAGUAACACUUUUCGUCACAAGGUGGUAGCAGAUGUCGUGCACAUCAGUCUAUGGCCAUCUGGUCUCUCAAGGUCUUGCUGGAGUUGAUGAAGUGCACAUUUUUCUCUGUGCAUCUCUGAAUCUGAUCUUCAAGCAGAGAUCUCCAAAUGCACAAUCAGGAAUUGUUACUAUAUGCUGCUUUCAAGAACAUCUGAGUUGUUGACUGCACCCUGCAGACCUGUUGUCAUGUUACUGUUAGGUUUUCCAGUUAUUUUUCAUCCCUGUUUGGUUUGUCAUGUGGAAGGAUGGUAGCAGAGCUGGACUGCAGUGAGCAGUGGGAGAUGUGGUGGUGAAUGUCUCGUGCUUGGUUCAGCCACUGCUCACUUCUUCUGUAGAGAAAGAACUUUCCUCCAUGCUCUUCCCAAGGGGAGGACAGACGGCUUUGCUGCUGAAUGGACAGAUCUUUGGCUUAAGGCAUCCCACCUUCUGGUAGAUACAGCCGCUUUGUCUACAGUUAGAAGUUAAGCAUGGCUUGGCUUGAACUGCCUCCUCUGGAACACCAGCAACAGUGGCUUCCCACAGCUUGGGUCCAGCCAACAAUUACUGUCUCAUCCUAUCCCUGGACAAGAUCUGAGAAAGAUAUCUGAAAAAGACAUAUUCAACAGUGACCCCCUUCCAUGUUUCUGGAGGGUCAAAACUUUGACGGAGUGGGAGCUCCUUUGAUUUUUGGUCCUUUAAUUUUCUCUAUGCUUUUUCCAUCCCUUUCUGUGUUCGUCACUUCGUUUCUCUUCCUCUGGCUCAGCUGUCUGCGACUCCAUGCAUGUGAGCAGGGCUGAGAUUCUCCAAGGGACACAAAUGGCAGCUAUCUCAGGGGGCAAAACGAAGAGCUAAUAGAUAUAUUCUGUGUCUCUGUUAGGGAAGAAAAAAGCUGUCAGGAGACAAUAGCAAGCAAGUGAAUGAUGCAACACCUCAGCAGACCCUCAGCCAAAGCAGAGAUAGGAACUGCACACACAUAGAAGCUAGUGACAUGUCUACUUAAUUUCUCUGCUUUGCAAAGAUCUUACUGCAGUUUUGCUGUGGGGCCAGUGACUGCUCAUUGCUGGCUGUCUCCAAAUGUCUUGUUGGCUGUUGCAUGUGUACAGACUGCAUUGGGCAGUCUUUUCAGUGAUUUGAGACUAGUAUAAAAAUAGACUGAGCCUGGAAGUCUGGAUUAUCAUCAUUGCUAUGGACCCUUCCAAGCUGUCAUUUUAUAUGCCCUGAAUAUUUUCCUUAUUUUCAUGGUUGUGCUCAAAAGCUGGCUCAAAUUCUCAGUGCAACUGUAGUGAACCUUGGUCUCUUAUUCAUUCUAAUACACACUUCACUAAAAGCCUUCACCAUCUCAGACCUUUCUGUCAUCAAAUACAUGAUUUUGAAUGCUUCCAUUAUAUUUGCAUCUGCUGUAAUUUUACUUUUUUUUAUAGUAUCAGCUUUCAUUAGUUAUGAUGUAUUUGGAAAUCAGUAAUAAUAAUAGUUUUUUCAAGAUUUCUUUUGAAAUAUUUUUUUAAACUGCCUGUAGAUUGUUCUGGGGUAUGUCACUUGUACAUUUCAGGUUUAGACAAUGGAUGCUACUUUAUCAAACCUUGAGAAAGGCCUCUAGAGGUCUGAUGUACAUUAUUUUAUAAUUUUAAUUUUCCAGCGAUACAGACUGGGACUAAGUGGCUCGGAAGCAGCACUGCUAAGUACAACUGGGAUGUCCUGUUGGACAAAAAACUGAACGUAAGCCAUCAGUGUGCUCUGUCAGUAAAUAAUGCCAAAAGUCUCCUGGGCUGUAUUAAUAGCAUACCAAGGAGACUAAGGGAUUCAACAUUCAUUAGGCAACUUCUGUCUCUAGCUUUGGGUACCUCAGAUACAAGGAAAAUAAUGAUAAACUAGUAGUGCAGUAGUGCAACAGAGAGCAGUCAAAAUGUUUAGGGAGUUGUAGCAUUUGUCCUUGGUGGGAGACUGAGAGAAGUAGACUUGUUUGGCCUAGAGAAGAUACCUAAUAGCAGCCUACCAGCACCUAUGAGGAAAUUAUCAAAAGAGAUGAAUCCAGGCUCCUUUGGUGUUUUAGUAGGAGGAUGAGAUGCAGUAGGCAAAAACUGAGACUAGAAGUUUGGCUGGAUGUUAGAAGAAACUUUUUGCCCAUGGGGGCAAACAAGCAAUGGAAUAGGUUAUCCAGAGUAGUUGUAGUGUGUUUAUCCUUGUGAUUUUUCAGAAUCCAGCAGGAUAAAACCCUGAGCAACCUGACCUGGCCUCCUAGUGAAUGGAAUGAGCUCCUAAGGUCCCUUCCAACCUGAAUUAUUCUGAUUUCGUGGUUCUGUAUUUUAAAUGAGAAAAAAAUCAACUGCUUAGUUGUGUACACUAAACAAUAUUGCAUUAGCCUGAAAUUUAAAUUGAUGUUUUGUAUGGAUUUUUUUUUGUUUUUUUUUUAGAGUCUUAGUCUCUUAAAUUCAUCUCUUUCAUCUACGUUCUGUCAGGGAUUUUUUUCUCAGUGCAGAAUAGCUUCAGGCUUCAACUUUUCUUCCUCCACUAUUCCCAAACCUUACAGACAGUCUGAAAUGCAAAUAUAUUUUUGUUCUUUACCUACCAACAUGACUGCCUAUUAAAUUAUUCUGCUAAUCCCACAAAAGAUCUCCUCAGGAUUCUUUCUAAGCCCCACUAUGUUCUGGAAAAGUAACCAGAUUUUACUUCUUUUGGGUCUUUGUCCAGAGUAGAAGAGGCCAAACAUAAUUGCAAGCAAAAAAGAAACAACAGCCCUGGCAGUAUUAGAUCCUGCUCUUAAUUAUGCACUCUACAUUCACUGUGACUUCCUUUGAAGCUUUCUUCUCUCAGAAUUGCUGCAUUGAUUGUUUUUGGGUUUUUUUUUUCAGCUCAGAAGAACCACAUUAUGUCAUUCCACAGGAUGGGUUGAAAAUUAAAUACUUUUACAUUUCUUUGAUGCAUGACUGCAGUGUGCGUAGCACGUAAUUCACUGCAUUGGAGUUACAAUACAGCUAUUGUUACAAAAGGGCAAGAAGGUGUCGAGAUAUUUAGUGUGUACAGCAACCAUUAUGAUUUUGUCUGGAUUUCUGGAACUUAAUGUUAAAGUGUAUUUUCUCCUUAAGGUUAUGAGUGUAUGGCACAUCCUGGCCUCUUUUGCCUCUUGUUCUUAAUGUGCAGGGAAGUGCAUGCUACAUGGAGGAGGAAGCAGAAAGAACAGAAUCUUCAACUGAGAGACAUUUUCUCAGACAUAUACUUGUUCUGAGGGAUCUCAUCCUCUUCAUCUAAGAAACCUACUGUCUCUAUUUCGGGGCUCCCCAGUUACAAGGAAGAUAGUAGCUUACUGGACCAAGUCAGUGGAUGAUCUCUGCUAUGAUUAGGAGUCUGAAGUCCAAGACAUACAAGGAGAAGUUGAGAACCUAUCUUUGAAAGCUUUGUUUGUUCAGAGGAACAUUGUAUCAUUUCAAGCAGUGUUCAACAAACAGGUUUUAAGAUACGCUCAGAUAAAGGAAGUUUUGUGCUAAAGAUCCACAUGAGCCCUGGCCAGCUGCUCAGAAAUGGAUGAUCUCCAUGUGAUAAUGUGAUAAUGUGAUGAACUGUAGUAUCCUGACAUAAAAUUCCAUUGCUGAAAGAAGGAAAGAUCAGAAUUUCUUGGAGAAGAGAGGCUUCUUGGAGAAGUGUUACUAGUGUUAAAAGCCAAAGUGUUUGAUUUCCACAUCAGUCUCCCUGAAAACACUGCUGUUAAUAACUCUCAGUUUGAAGAGUCCUCUGUCAUGAACAGUGAAGAUCUUCAUUAGUUACAAGCACUGAAGACGUGAAGAAGGUACCUGGUUGCAAAUAUAGCAAAGUGGACAUCUUCAGGAGUUCUAAUUAAUGCUUCUAUGAAAUAGAUAAAAAAAAAGAGAGAGAGAGAAAUAGUACACUGGAGUAUACCUGAGUGCUAUUCAUGGAACAAUUACAUAAUGAAAGAACAAUAGGAUUUUCAGCUUUUCACAUUUUCUUGAGACAUUAUGAAGAAUCUGGCAGUGAUGUGUAUAAGAACAGUAAAUUGAGAAAAAUGGUAAGAUAAAAUGCAGUUUCAUUACAAUGGCAUUAGCAGUAAGCUAAUCUCAGUGGUAACUUGUAUGUUGUAAUUACUAGAUUCACAGUGCAUGAUUAAUGGCAAAUGCAAAGCUGAAACAAUUAUGUUUCCUAAAUAUGUCAUACUCUAUCUGAAACUGUAGUAAUUAAAAUGUUUAAAAAUGAA